rnacentral:rRNA from 1 species
GAUGAACGCUGGCGGCGUGCCUAAUACAUGCAAGUCGAGCGAACGGACGAGAAGCUUGCUUCUCUGAUGUUAGCGGCGGACGGGUGAGUAACACGUGGAUAACCUACCUAUAAGACUGGGUUAACUUCGGGAAACCGGAGCUGAUACCGGAUAAUAUUUUGAACCGCAUGGUUCAAAAGUGAAAGACGGUCUUGCUGUCACUUAUAGAUGGAUCCGCGCUGCAUUAGCUAGUUGGUAAGGUAACGGCUUACCAAGGCAACGAUGCAUAGCCGACCUGAGAGGGUGAUCGGCCACACUGGAACUGAGACACGGUCCAGACUCCUACGGGAGGCAGCAGUAGGGAAUCUUCCGCAAUGGGCGAAAGCCUGACGGAGCAACGCCGCGUGAGUGAUGAAGGUCUUCGGAUCGUAAAACUCUGUUAUUAGGGAAGAACAUAUGUGUAAGUAACUGUGCACAUCUUGACGGUACCUAAUCAGAAAGCCACGGCUAACUACGUG